CAGUCGCCGCGGUAAUACAGAGGGUGCAAGCGUUAAUCGGAAUUACUGGGCGUAAAGCGCGCGUAGGUGGUUUGUUAAGUUGGAUGUGAAAUCCCCGGGCUCAACCUGGGAACUGCAUCCAAAACUGGCAAGCUAGAGUAUGGUAGAGGGUGGUGGAAUUUCCUGUGUAGCGGUGAAAUGCGUAGAUAUAGGAAGGAACACCAGUGGCAAAGGCGACCACCUGGACUGAUACUGACACUGAGGUGCGAAAGCGUGGGGAGCAAACAGGAUUAGAUACCCCGGUAGUCCCUGUCUCUUAACA
rnacentral:rRNA from 1 species